GAUCAAUUUUACUUAUAAUACACAAUUCUGUGGUGUUGUAAAAUUGAAUUGUAAGCUGUAGUUUUUGUUUAUAAUAAAAAUGUGUCACAUAUGGCUUUGGCAAAGCCAUUGCAGUUGUGUGUUUUCUAACUAGAAUUUUUUGGAAAUAAAAGGAGAUGGCCAGCUAUCGCUCUUGGAUUAAUUUAGAAGCUUUUGAUAAGACGUAAAAAGAAAAAAGUUACAAGCAUAUGCAAGACCUACCUUUUCUGAUAUAACUUUUCUUCAAGACUCGUUGAAAGGUGCCGACAGCUACAUUUUUCUUCUCUUUGAUACUUUUGUCGCCUGAAGCCAUGUUCAGUGUGUUCAAUGUUAAUUCACUUUGUGUUUCUUUGGGACAUUUUUCCCUUGCCCCCAAAUGAUAACUACAAGGAUUACAAAACUUUAGCAACAACCAUGGUAAACGGCCGUUUCAAGCAUACCUAGUUUUUCCAUUUUCAACCAAACUGGUGUCUUCUGUCACGAUGAUUUUAAAUAAAGGAUUAUCGGACUGACA